rnacentral:lncRNA from 1 species
AUGAGGUCGCUGCCUUGGUUUGCUGCCACACUGCUUUUCUCCCUUCUUCUCUCCUCCAGAAGAAGGAUGAGAGUCCAGAGCUGUGCCUGCUGCAGGUGGAAGGGAGGAGACAAGCAGCAGUUCCUGAGCACCUACCACACGCCAGGCUUCAGGCCAGGAAAUACAAGGAUAAAUGGAAGGCAAUUCAGAUAACCAGGGCUUUCAGCAUGGGGCUUACUGUCAGAACUUGGAAAAAAAAUGUAUUUAUUGAUGGGAAAAAGGUACAGAAAAGAAAAUGGAAACUCCAAGAGGUUAGUAGAUGAUCGGUAGACAGGAUAUAAUGUAAAAUGUGAGAUAGAGUAUUACUCUUACUCUAUAUACCAACCCUACACUGUCUCUGUAACUGAACCUACAAUUAUAUAUAAAUACAUUUACAAAUAUUUACUUUCAAAAUAUUUAUGGUAAUUCAACCCUCCUCUUCAAACUCAGUGCUAUAGUGCUAAUUUGGGCAAUUAAUAUCUCUUUAAUUUGUCUAUUUUAAGAACCUCCAGCUCCUUCUUCCUCUACCUAGCCACCAGAGGGUGUAUUUAUCUAAAGCAAACAUGAUCAUAUUUCUACCUUGCUUAAACCAUUCAAUGGCUCCCUGUGAUUCUAUUUUACCUAUUUGACUAACCUACACUCCCCAGUUAUUCAAUUAAAUAUGAAUCUAGGUGUUGCUGUGGAAGGUAUUUUGUACAUAUGAUUAGUCCAUAAUCAGUUGACUUUGAAUUAGGGAGAUUAUGCCAGCUCUUCUGAGUGGGCCUGAUUCAAUUAGUUGAAAGGCUGUAAGAACAGAACUGAGGCUUCCCUGAUGAGGAAAAAAACUCUUCCUAUGUUCAGAAGCUUUAGCUCAUGCCCUAGAUUUCCAGGCUUCUCUUAUGAUGGCCUGUCCUUCAGAUUUUGGCUUGUCUAGCCUGCCCCUACAAUCACUUAAGCCAAUUGCUUGCAUUAAAUCUCUUAAUAUAUUUAUUGAGAUAGAUAGAUAUAUCUUACUGGUUCUGUUUUUGUGGUUGAACACUGAUUUAUACACUCAUCAUAACUUAUAAGAUGAGAUUCAAAGGGUAGAGGCCUUUUUGACCCUACUAAAGGUGUUUAAGUGAAACUUCUGAUGAAUUAUUGGCUGGCCACUAAGCUAUGCCAACUCAGGGGUGAACCCAUGAAAGCCAGAUGAAAAAUUUUUUCAACAAUUUUUUAGAAAGCAGCUGAGCAGCCAGCAGAGACUAUACUAUGAAAGAAACAGACUCCAGAUAAUUAAUCCAAAAAAUGUCUGGG